rnacentral:rRNA from 1 species
UACGUAGGUGGCAAGCGUUGUCCGGAUUUACUGGGCGUAAAGAGCGCGCAGGCGGCCAAGUCAGUCGAAUGUGAAAGCCCCCGGCUUAGCUGGGGAGGGUCAUUCGAUACUGCUCGGCUCGAAGACAGGAGAGGGAAGCGGAAUUCCCGGUGUAGUGGUGAAAUGCGUAGAUAUCGGGAGGAACACCAGUGGCGAAGGCGGCUUUCUGGCCUGUUCUUGACGCUGAGGCGCGAAAGCUAGGGGAGCAAACGGG